UACGGGGGGGGCAAGCGUUGUUCGGAAUUACUGGGCGUAAAGGGCUCGUAGGUGGCCAACUAAGUCAGACGUGAAAUCCCUCAGCUUAACUGGGGAACUGCGUCUGAUACUGGAUGGCUUGAGUUCGGGAGAGGGAUGCGGAAUUCCAGGUGUAGCGGUGAAAUGCGUAGAUAUCUGGAGGAACACCGGUGGCGAAGGCGGCAUCCUGGACCAACACUGACGCUGAGGAGCGAAAGCCAGGGGAGCAAACGGG
rnacentral:rRNA from 1 species